rnacentral:rRNA from 1 species
GGGCCCGCACAAGCGGAGGAACAUGUGGUUUAAUUCGAUGAUACGCGAGGAACCUUACCCGGGCUUGAAAUGCAGAGGAAUGUUGGGGAAACUCAACAGCCAGCAAUGGUCUCUGUGUAGGUGCUGCAUGGUUGUCGUCAGCUCGUGCCGUGAGGUGUCGGCUUAAGUGCCAUAACGAGCGCAACCCUUGCCAUUAGUUACCAUCAUUUAGUUGGGGACUCUAAUGGGACUGCCACCGUAAGGUGUGAGGAAGGUGGGGAUGACGUCAAAUCAGCACGGCCCUUACGUCCGGGGCGACACACGUGUUACAAUGGGGGGUACAGAGGGUAGCGACUUGGUGACGAGGAGCCAAUCUCUUAAAACCUUUCUCAGUUCGGAUCGGAGUCUGCAACUCGACUCCGUGAAGCUGGAUUCGCUAGUAAUCGCGCAUCAGCCAUGGCGCGGUGAAUACG